UCCCUGGUGGCUCAGACAGUAAAGCAUCUGCCUGCAAUGCAGGAGACCCAGGUUCGAUCCCUGGGUGGGGAA
rnacentral:tRNA from 1 species